GGAAUUCGCCCUUAGAGUUUGAUUUUGGCUCAGGAUGAACGCUGGCGGCGUGCUUAACACAUGCAAGUUGAACGAAGCUCACGGGAUUGACUCCUUCGGGAAGAUAUUCUUUGAGACUUAGUGGCGAACGGGUGAGUAACACGUGAGCAACCAACCCCUGACAGUGGAAUAACAACGGGAAACCGUUGCUAAUACCGCAUAAUAUCCCUGUAUGGCAUCAUAUGGGGAUCAAAGAUUUAUCGGUCAGGGGCGGGCUCGCGUCCGAUUAGGUAGUAGGUAAGGUAACGGCUUACCUAGCCUGCGAUCGGUAGCCGGACUGAGAGGUCGAUCGGCCACAUUGGGACUGAGACACGGCCCAGACUCCUACGGGAGGCAGCAGUGGGGAAUAUUGGGCAAUGGGGGCAACCCUGACCCAGCGACGCCGCGUGAAGGACGAAGGCAUUCGUGUUGUAAACUUCUUUGGAGAGGGACGAAGAUGACGGUACCUCUCGAACAAGCCACGGCUAACUACGUGCCAGCAGCCGCGGUAAUACGUAGGUGGCAAGCGUUAUCCGGAAUUACUGGGUGUAAAGGGCGCGCAGGCGGCCCUGCAAGUCGGAUGUGAAAGCCCACGGCUCAACCGUGGAGGGUCAUUGGAAACUGGGUCACUUGAGUACAGAAGAGGAAAGUGGAAUUCCAUGUGUAGCGGUGAAAUGCGUAGAUAUAUGGAGGAACACCAGUGGCGAAGGCGACUUUCUGGUCUGUGACUGACACUGAGGCUCGAAAGCGUGGGGAGCAAACAGGAUUAGAUACCCUGGUAGUCCACGCCGUAAA
rnacentral:rRNA from 1 species